rfam:Setaria italica strain Yugu1 chromosome III, whole genome shotgun sequence.
UAAGGUCGGGUGAUGAGUACCAGUGCAUAGUUCAGAUGAUAUAACCCUCGUGGUUGUGAUUACUUUGAACAAAUAGUCUUUCGCUCCUAACUGACGACCUUA